UUUACAGAUAAAAAAAACCAUCCAUACCAAGGGAGAAGUAUGAAUGGUCAAUUACAUUGCGGGAAAACGUCUUACUGUUUCAACUGCUUUAAGGGAGAAAAGCAAUCUCUGUCAGUGAUGAAUAUUCUAGCGGAGUUAGCAUUAAAUUGCGUUAAGCUGUGCAAGAUUUCUUCUUUUUACAU
rnacentral:ncRNA from 1 species